AGAUUGAACGCUGGCGGCAGGCCUAACACAUGCAAGUCGAGCGGCAGCACGGGUACUUGUACCUGGUGGCGAGCGGCGGACGGGUGAGUAAUGCCUAGGAAUCUGCCUGAUAGUGGGGGGAUAACGUUCGGAAACGGACGCUAAUACCGCAUACGUCCUACGGGAGAAAGUGGGGGAUCUUCGGACCUCACGCUAUCAGAUGAGCCUAGGUCGGAUUAGCUAGUUGUAGGUAAGCUACAGGC
rnacentral:rRNA from 1 species